rnacentral:rRNA from 1 species
CACGCAGGCGGUUUGUUAAGUCAGAUGUGAAAUCCCCGGGCUCAACCUGGGAACUGCAUUUGAAACUGGCAAGCUAGAGUCUCGUAGAGGGGGGUAGAAUUCCAGGUGUAGCGGUGAAAUGCGUAGAGAUCUGGAGGAAUACCGGUGGCGAAGGCGGCCCCCUGGACGAAGACUGACGCUCAGGUGCGAAAGCGUGGGGAGCAAACA